GCUUAAAUGGCGGAAUUGGUAGACGCGCUGCAUUCAGGGUGCAGUCCCGGUCUCGGGGUAAGGGUUCGAGUCCCUUUUUGAGCA
rnacentral:tRNA from 2 species